GACGAACGCUAGCGGGGGGCCUAACACAUGCAAGCCGAGGGGAAUGAUUCUGUCUGGGAUCGGAGCCCGGCGCACGGGCGCGUAACGCGCAUGUAACUUACCCCAUUCACUGGUAUAGCCCUUCUAAGGGAGGUUUAGUACCUACUAACACUAAUCUGGUCAUCCACUGUGGGGGAUGGAUUUAUCGGAAUGGUAUGGACAUGCGUCAGAUUAGCUAGUUGGAGAGUUAACUGCUCACCAAGGCGGGGAUCUGUAGGGGGCCGGAGAGGGUGACCCCCCACACGGGUACUGGGAAACGGAGCAGAGACAUACGGGAGGCAGCAGUGCGGAAUAUUGGACAAGGGAUGAGAGCCUGAUCCAGCCAACCCGCGUGCAGGAAGACGGCCCUAUGGGUUGUAAACUGCUGGUGGAUGGGAAUAAACCCCCGUACGCGUGGGGUGGUGAAGGUACCAUACGAAUAAGCACCGGCUAACUCCGUG
rnacentral:rRNA from 1 species